CUGAGGGGAAGGUUUAUACUUGUGACACCUACCUCCUGUUCCUCCAUAGUUCGGGCCACAUCCCAUGCAUUGGCCGUGCAAUGCCGUCUCUCUGGUUCCUUUGCUGACCAGCUGCACCGGGAGCAUUGGGUUACAAAGUAAGGGAGAAAGCCUGAGUCUGUGCUAAAGCUGAGAAGACAGGUGUGUGCUGACAGUUGCCUCCCAGGGAAGGACUCCUUCAGGGAUUCAUUUCUCUGAUCUGAAUCAGCUGUGUUGUCUAAAAAUAAUCAUACUCCAGGACUCCUCUUUCUAUGAAGAAACCCACAGAAAAGAGAUGAAGAGCCAGGAAAAUUGGGGUUACCUGAAAUGCCCUUUUUUGGAGGAGUUGGAGCAGGAUCUUAAAGGAAUCUGACACCUGUUAAUCCCAUGAGUCUUCAGCAUCUGGAAAGAAAGGCUCUCCCGGAACAGAGGAAAAUAAUUCCACUCCCAGACUUUCGCAAUCCCUCCACCUGCUGUCUCACAUUCUUCUCAUGGGUCUCAAUGGCAACAGUCAAGCUGUCAGUCAAAGUUGCUACUGAUUUUGAAGAUAGGUCUCUCAUUAAAGUAUAGUAAUAUCAUUUUGUGUGAAGAAGACACUGUGUUAUGCUACCUGCUGUUUAAAUAUCACACCAUACAUAAAGUAAACUUGCUAUAUAAACCACUUUGAAUAAAAUUAUUUUCCUUUCCAAGACUGCAUCAAAGGAAGUAAUCUACAAAAGGGGU